UACGGAGGGGGCAAGCGUUGUUCGGAAUCACUGGGCGUAAAGCGCACGUAGGCGGAUUGCUAAGUCAGGGGUGAAAUCCUGGAGCUCAACUCCAGAACUGCCUUUGAUACUGGCGACCUUGAGUCCGGGAGAGGUGAGUGGAACUGCGAGUGUAGAGGUGAAAUUCGUAGAUAUUCGCAAGAACACCAGUGGCGAAGGCGGCUCACUGGCCCGGUACUGACGCUGAGGUGCGAAAGCGUGGGGAGCAAACAGG
rnacentral:rRNA from 1 species